UUGGUUUGUGAGUUUGUUUUUA
rnacentral:miRNA from 1 species